rnacentral:misc_RNA from 1 species
AGACUCAUCCCUUCGGGUUUCCGACUGGAUGGAUUUGGGCGUCUGCCAUACUGUGGCUCGCCUUAAAAGCCUAAGUGGUUGCAUAGGACGUAAUAAGUUUCGCCCUUGACCGCUCAUAACCCUUUUUCUCUCUUGCAAAAGAGUUGAAAUACCACCUUUGAUCUGACCUCAAAUCAGGUAGGGCUACCCGCUGAACUUAA